UACGUAGGGGGCUAGCGUUGUCCGGAUUUAUUGGGCGUAAAGAGCGUGUAGGCGGCCAGGUAGGUCUGCUGUGAAAACUCGAGGCUCAACCUCGAGACGUCGGCGGAAACCAUCUGGCUAGAGUCCGGAAGAGGAGAGUGGAAUUCCUGGUGUAGCGGUGAAAUGCGCAGAUAUCUGGAGGAACACCGGUGGCGAAGGCGGCAUCCUGGACCGACACUGACACUGAGGAGCGAAAGCCAGGGGAGCAAACGGG
rnacentral:rRNA from 1 species